rnacentral:rRNA from 1 species
GAUGAACGCUGGCGGCGUGCCUAAUACAUGCAAGUCGAGCGAACAGACGAGGAGCUUGCUCCUCUGACGUUAGCGGCGGACGGGUGAGUAACACGUGGAUAACCUACCUAUAAGACUGGGAUAACUUCGGGAAACCGGAGCUAAUACCGGAUAAUAUAUUGAACCGCAUGGUUCAAUAGUGAAAGACGGUUUUGCUGUCACUUAUAGAUGGAUCCGCGCUGCAUUAGCUAGUUGGUAAGGUAACGGCUUACCAAGGCGACGAUGCGUAGCCGACCUGAGAGGGUGAUCGGCCACACUGGAACUGAGACACGGUCCAGACUCCUACGGGAGGCAGCAGUAGGGAAUCUUCCGCAAUGGGCGAAAGCCUGACGGAGCAACGCCGCGUGAGUGAUGAAGGUCUUCGGAUCGUAAAACUCUGUUAUUAGGGAAGAACAAAUGUGUAAGUAACUGUGCACGUCUUGACAGUACCUAAUCAGAAAGCCACGGCUAACUACGUG